AUACAGAGGGUGCAAGCGUUAAUCGGAUUUACUGGGCGUAAAGCGCGCGUAGGUGGCUAAUUAAGUCAAAUGUGAAAUCCCCGAGCUUAACUUGGGAAUUGCAUUCGAUACUGGUUAGCUAGAGUAUGGGAGAGGAUGGUAGAAUUCCAGGUGUAGCGGUGAAAGGCGUAGAGAUCUGGAGGAAUACCGAUGGCGAAGGAAGCCAUCUGGCCUAAUACGGACACUGAGGUGCGAAAGCAGGGGGAGCAAACAGGAUUAGAUCCCCGGGUAGUCCAUGCCGUAAACGAUGUCUACUAGCCGUUGGGGCCCUUGAGGCUUUAGUGGCGCAGCUAACGCGAUAAGUAGACCGCCUGGGGAGUACGGUCGCAAGACUAAAACUCAAAUGAAUUGACGGGG
rnacentral:rRNA from 1 species